UAGGACCGUGCCUGAAUCGCAAUAGGGCUCUUUGAUAGAGUAGACAACAGGGGUUAGAACCCCCUCGCAU